GUUACAGUUGUGAGGUGUUACAGUUGUGAGGUGAAAGAGUUGUGAGGUGUAAGAGUUGUGAGGUGUUACAGUUAUGAGGUGUUACAGUUGUGAAGUGUUGUAGUUAUGAGGUGUUACAGUUAUGAGGUGUAAGAAUUGUGAGGUGUAAGAGUUGUGAGGUGUUACAGUUGUGAGGUGAAAGAGUUGUGAGGUGUUACAGUUAUGAGGUGUAAGAGUUGUGAGGUGUUACAAUUAUGAGGUGUAAGAGUUGUGAGGUGUUACAGUUGUGAGGUGUAAGAGUUGUGAGGUGUUACAGUUAUGAGGUGUUACAGUUGUGAAGUGUUGUAGUUGUGAGGUGUUACAGUUAUGAGGUGUUAUCGUUAUAUCAGUGGUCUGCUACUGUAUUAAUAAAAUAUCUACUGAAAAAAACCUGGGUGCAGGUUUUCAUUCCAACCAAGAAGAAGCCAAGAAGAAGAAGUCUAUUGAAAGCCAAGAUCAACUGAUUAAACAGGUGGAAUCAGGUGUGGCUCCUGCUUGGUUGGAAUGAAAACCUGCACCCACACCGGCCCUUUCUGGAUAAGAUGGAGCACCCCUGCUCUACAGUCAAGCGAGUUUUACAUUGCCAUGGACUGAAAAGCUGCCGUCCAAGAAAGAAGCCCCUACUCCAAAAUCGGCACCUUCAAGCCCGUGUGAAGUUUGCAGAUGACCAUAUGAACAAUGAAAAAGCCUUCUGGAGGAACGUUUUAUGGUCAGAUGAGACAAAGAUUGAGUUGUUUGGCCACAUUGAUCAGAGCCUGUGAGAGACCGAGGCGAGGCAUGGCGGGAUCUGGAGUACAGUUACGCUGAAUCUUAAGAGGCAGUGAGGGAGACGCCGGAGAAAGAAAGGAGGGGAAGAUGGGAUCUUCAGGUGUUGCAGCCCAUCAACCUCAAGGUUUGAUGUCUUGUGAGAUGCUUUUCUGCUCGCCGCAGCUGCACAGAGUGAUUAUUAGAGCUACCGUAGGCUUCCUGUCAGCUCGAAGGAACCUGGACGAUUUUUUGUGUUUCACACCAUUGUGUAUAGAAG
ensembl:lncRNA